UACCUAUCACUGAGGGAUAGCCCGAAGAAAUUUGGAUUAACACCUCAUAGUACCGGCUGACCGCAUGGUCUACUGGUUAAAGGUUACGGUGAUAGAUGAGUAUGCGUCCUAUUAGCUAGAUGGUAAGGUAACGGCUUACCAUGGCUACGAUAGGUAGGGGUCCUGAGAGGGAGAUCCCCCACACUGGUACUGAGACACGGACCAGACUCCUACGGGAGGCAGCAGUGAGGAAUAUUGGACAAUGGGCGAGAGCCUGAUCCAGCCAUGCCGCGUGCAGGAAGACGGCCCUAUGGGUUGUAAACUGCUUUUGUACGGGAAGAAACCCUCCUACGUGUAGGGGGCUGACGGUACCGUAAGAAUAAGCACCGGCUAACUCCGUGCCAGCAGCCGCGGUAAUACGGAGGGUGCAAGCGUUAUCCGGAAUCAUUGGGUUUAAAGGGUCCGUAGGCGGGCUGAUAAGUCAGUGGUGAAAUGCAGGGGCUCAACUCCGGCACUGCCAUUGAUACUGUUAGUCUUGAAUUAUUGUGAAGUGGCUAGAAUAUGUAGUGUAGCGGUGAAAUGCUUAGAUAUUACAUAGAAUACCGAUUGCGAAGGCAGGUCACUAACAAUACAUUGACGCUGAGGGACGAAAGCGUGGGUAGCGAACAGGAUUAGAUACCCUGGUAGUCCACGCCGUAAACGAUGGUUACUAGCUGUCCGGUACGAUUGAGUACUGGGUGGCCAAGCGAAAGUGAUAAGUAACCCACCUGGGGAGUACGUUCGCAAGAAUGAAACUCAAAGGAAUUGACGGGGGCCCGCACAAGCGGUGGAGCAUGUGGUUUAAUUCGAUGAUACGCGAGGAACCUUACCAGGGCUUAAAUGCAGACUGACAGGCUUGGAAACAGGCUUUUCUUCGGACAGUUUGCAAGGUGCUGCAUGGUUGUCGUCAGCUCGUGCCGUGAGGUGUCAGGUUAAGUCCUAUAACGAGCGCAACCCCUAUUGCUAGUUGCCAGCGAGUCAUGUCGGGGACUCUAGCGAGACUGCCGGUGCAAACCGUGAGGAAGGUGGGGAUGACGUCAAAUCAUCACGGCCCUUACGUCCUGGGCCACACACGUGCUACAAUGGUAGGGACAGAGAGCAGCCACCUCGUGAGAGGGAGCGAAUCUAUAAACCCUAUCACAGUUCGGAU
rnacentral:rRNA from 1 species